GAUUUCAGAUGAAAAAGUUAUGAACAUAAAAGUUGUAGAACUGAUUAAGAUCUACACCUUUUAUUUUGGUCAUUUGUUCAUCCAAUGAAAUGAUAGUAACAUUGUUCACAAAAUUUAUAUAUCUCACUCUUAUAGUUUAUAAAACCAUAUGAGAGAGAUGUAAAAUUUAUGAACAAUGUUAGUAUCACUCUAUCGGAUGAAAAAAUGACCAAAAUAAUAGUUAUAGAUCUUGAUGACUUCUAUAACUUUGUUGUUGAUAACUUUUUCA
ncrna:Sorghum bicolor miR821b stem-loop (sbi-MIR821b)